rnacentral:lncRNA from 1 species
CCAAAAUUCCAGGGAUAGGAUAAAUAUUCCAAUGCGAAUCCUAGUCUCGCUUCUUUGUAAACAUUUGUCAACCAAUCAUUAUCACUGGUCAAUGGUGAUAGUAGCUGAAUACUCUCAAUUAUCUUUGUAUAUGUGUUGGAUGAGCAGUUGUAAAUUUAAUUUUCGUUUUACAAAUUUAGAAUGAUUCAAUGGUUCAUUAAUGGCAACAUUUAAAAUUGCAUCGUCCUGUUCUAAAGAAGUCUGUCAUGGCCUACCUGACCUUGAUUUCGUUUUCAAAUCGUGCUCUGCUUGCCAUCAACAUAUCCAAGUGGAUGCAGUUUUUAGGGUGGAUAUUCAUUUCCUGUCCUAUUGCUCUCGUUGAAUAUCUUCCAGAUUCCAAUAAUCCUAUAAUUCUUCCCUUUGUUUCAUCAGCUAAUUGUUUAUCGUUUAAUCCUCUUAGCAUUUUAACAGAUUUUAACAAAGCCAUUUAACUAAAUAUGCACAAUUAAAACGAAUGCCAUUCACGCUGCUACGAGAUUUUAACAGACGAUGUUUUCCGGAUGCUGCAUUUCUUGCUAAAGCUGAAUGACAUAGAAUGAAGAGUUUUCAUCUGACAUUGUUAUACUAAUA